UAUUGCUUUACUUGUAUUAUGCCAUAAAAUAAUUGUUGCAGAUAUAAAGACCUAGAGAGAACCAGAAAAUGCACAUAGGGAAGGUGAGGCGGAAGUAGUCCACGCUGGUGCUGUCCACGGAGGCCUCUGUUUGGUACACCAGUGCUUGCUGAGGUUUGAAAGUUACUGAGACGCUGCAUUGCUCUCCUGGCUCCAGAACCCCACUCAGUGGGGAGAGCUCAAAUGGUGGCUCCACCAC